rnacentral:rRNA from 1 species
GCAGUCGACGAUGAUGCCCAGCUUGCUGGGCGGAUUAGUGGCGAACGGGUGAGUAAUACGUGAGUAACCUGCCCUUGACUCUGGGAUAAGCCUGGGAAACUGGGUCUAAUACUGGAUACUACCUCUUACCGCAUGGUGGGUGGUGGAAAGGGUUUUACUGGUUUUGGAUGGGCUCACGGCCUAUCAGCUUGUUGGUGGGGUAAUGGCUCACCAAGGCGACGACGGGUAGCCGGCCUGAGAGGGUGACCGGCCACACUGGGACUGAGACACGGCCCAGACUCCUACGGGAGGCAGCAGUGGGGAAUAUUGCACAAUGGGCGGAAGCCUGAUGCAGCGACGCCGCGUGAGGGAUGACGGCCUUCGGGUUGUAAACCUCUUUCAGUAGGGAAGAAGCGAGAGUGACGGUACCUGCAGAAGAAGCGCCGGCUAACUACGUGCCAGCAGCCGCGGUAAUACGUAGGGCGCAAGCGUUGUCCGGAAUUAUUGGGCGUAAAGAGCUCGUAGGCGGUUUGUCGCGUCUGCUGUGAAAGCCCGGGGCUCAACCCCGGGUCUGCAGUGGGUACGGGCAGACUAGAGUGCAGUAGGGGAGACUGGAAUUCCUGGUGUAGCGGUGAAAUGCGCAGAUAUCAGGAGGAACACCGAUGGCGAAGGCAGGUCUCUGGGCUGUUACUGACGCUGAGGAGCGAAAGCAUGGGGAGCGAACAGGAUUAGAUACCCUGGUAGUCCAUGCCGUAAACGUUGGGCACUAGGUGUGGGGGACAUUCCACGUUUUCCGCGCCGUAGCUAACGCAUUAAGUGCCCCGCCUGGGGAGUACGGCCGCAAGGCUAAAACUCAAAGGAAUUGACGGGGGCCCGCACAAGCGGCGGAGCAUGCGGAUUAAUUCGAUGCAACGCGAAGAACCUUACCAAGGCUUGACAUUCACCGGACCGCCCCAGAAGAUGGGGUUUCCCUUCGGGGCUGGUGGACAGGUGGUGCAUGGUUGUCGUCAGCUCGUGUCGUGAGAUGUUGGGGUUAAGUCCCGCAACGAGCGCAACCCUCGUUCUAUGUUGCCAGCACGUGAUGGUGGGGACUCAUAGGAGACUGCCGGGGUCA